rnacentral:rRNA from 1 species
UGGGGAAUAUUGCACAAUGGGGGAAACCCUGAUGCAGCGACGUCGCGUGAACGAAGAAGGUAUUCGUAUCGUAAAGUUCUGUCCUAUGGGAAGAUAAUGACAGUACCAUAGAAGAAAGCUCCGGCUAAAUACGUGCCAGCAGCCGCGGUAAUACGUAUGGAGCGAGCGUUGUCCGGAAUUAUUGGGCGUAAAGGGUACGCAGGCGGUUUAAUAAGUCGAAUGUUAAAGAUCGGGGCUCAACCCCGUAAAGCAUUGGAAACUGAUAAACUUGAGUAGUGGAGAGGAAAGUGGAAUUCCUAGUGUAGUGGUGAAAUACGUAGAUAUUAGGAGGAAUACCAGUAGCGAAGGCGACUUUCUGGACACAAACUGACGCUGAGGUACGAAAGCGUGGGGAGCAAACAGG